ensembl:lncRNA
CCCAGGCCAGACACAAAUCUACAUGAAGUCCUCAGGAGAGCCCUACUAAUAGCAAUAUCCAACCCCUGCACACUCCCCUGCCUCUGACAGUAUUCCACUUUGAGAUACUGGAGGCAGAGGAGGGUCCUGACUGAAGCCCUGGCCCAGCCCAGAGCCUGAAUCAAAGUGAUCCAAAGACUGAGUCAGUCAGAGGAGCAGGGAAAUUGCUCAGCAAUUCCAGCUGAGGAACAAUAUUCCUCAAGGACUUUCCUUGGGCAGAAGCUCACACUUCACUCUUCCUUCUUCUGGAUCUUCUCCUGGUGGAUGCAAUGGGGUUCAUCUGGAAACUUCUCUGGAAGAAAGAGUGAGAAUGCCAGACCAAAGAGAAACUCCAAAGAGAACUCAGCUGGAGAAAAGGCAAGAAAGUGGAUGAUACUGAAGCACAAAUCCUUCUAAUUUAGGAAAUGAGAAGAAUUGAGUAAAGAGCUCCCAAUAGAGUCCAAACCCAUGGUCAGAAACCAGGAAGGUUAAAUAGAAGAGUCCAUUUCCUCUGGCCUCCUUCUCUCUGGACACAUCCUUGUGAAGAAGCUGAGGAGACACAGCCAGACAAGUCCUGGACAUGAGUGAAGCAGGCACCAAGGAGGGGAUGGGAAGGCAACCAGGGCACAGAAAAGGCUAAGAAAUGUCUGGCUGUUGCAAGGGAGUGCUCAUCUCUCCUUUUCCUGUUGAAGAGCGGAGAAAAGCCUGCUCCUAUGCUGGUGAAUGGCUGUCUCAUUACUAUGGUCUCAGGCAGAGGACUCCUUAAAAAAAGAUCUUAGUGUUCUUUCUCCAUCUUCCAGCUCCAAAUAGUGGCCUGGUUUGGUGGGCGAUGGACGGAGACCCGGAGAAGAUCCACACAGCAUCAUGACCAAGUGCUACCUCAUCCCAGUUGAGCAUCUUCACCUUUUUCUUUCCAGCAGUUUAGGCUUAUUUCUAUCUUUCUCCUUCUUAAAGCCCUCCCCACACACUUUUUUUCUUGGAUUUUUCUACUCCUCAACAUUUUCAUUACCAAAAACCUAAGGAUACAACUAGAAAGCCUCCAUUUAAAUGACAUUCAGUCUCAAGUAUGUUAUGUGCAUCUUAGAGGAGACCUGGCAACCCUGUUCACCUGAGCCCCUCUCUCCUCAGAGCAGAGAGACCACCUCAUAAUUUGUUCCCCCAUGAAGAACACUAGAAAGGAGGUCUAAGUUAAAUCUUGUAAAUUGUCAUUUUUAAUAGCCAACAUUUAUUGAGCAGCUACCACCAUGCCCAAGCACAGGUCUGAGUGCUUUAUGUAUAUUCUCUUAUUUAGUAAUCCUCACAUCAGCCGUAAGAAGUAGGUGCCAUUAUGAUGUCCAUGUACAAUGGAGUAAAUUAAUCCACAAAAAGAGUAAAAACCUUGCACUAAAUCAUACAUCCAGGAGGUGGUGACACUAAGACAAAAACUCAGGGAAUCUGGUCCCACAUUCCAAAUUUGGAAUAGAUCUACUCUGAUUCCUUAUCCUUAACAUGAAGAAGGCCCAGUAAUUUCAAGUAACUUGUUCAAGGUCACUCAACUGAUUAAUUCUGACUCAAGAGAUGCUGAUACUUCUUCCCUGUCUGUCUGCUAAAUGUACAUGUUCCCCAGGGAUUCUUGGAUCCACUUGUCACUCUGUAGUGAAAUACACGUGUCACUCUACAUUACACCUUGAGAAUCCUACAUGUGGAGUACUCCCACAUUCAUAUCUCAAUGUCUUUCCAAAGUUCCAUUUCCACCAGAACCCUAAAAUUUCUCUAUCUGGAUUGUCCCACGGCAGCUCAGACCAAGUUAAAUUCAAUAUUCUCCCAACUCCUCCAACUUACACUUAGUUUUUUUCCUUCUCUGGUAUUUGUAUUAUGAUAUCAUUGUCUACACAAUUGCCCAAGAAAGAACUUCAAUCAUGCAGGAGCCCUCUUUCCUUAUCACUGUAUUCUAAUCAGCUAGUCAAUCCUGUCAGUUCUUCCUUCUAAGUCGUCUUCAACUCCAUCAUCUACUCUCCCUGCAUUGCUCUGAUUCAGAUAGUCCUUUGUAAUGUAUUGUUUUUCUCUUGUUACAGCCUCGUUUAUGCAAUAUAUAUUUACUAAGUGUUUAUGCUAAGCCAUGAAGGAAACUAACUAAACAAAGGGAUAGAGAAUGAAGGGGGAAGACUUAAUAUGAGAGGCAGAUCUAGGAGGGUCCUUCUCAGGAGAUGACAUUUAAGACAGGACACAAUAAUAGGAAGGAAUACAAAUGUUAACACCCGGGGCUUUCCCUGUUCCAGGGAGAGUGGGGAGCAGAUACAACAAUCCCAAGGUGUGAAAGAUCCAGAGUGUUUGAGGAACUGGAAGAAAAUCCAUGUGCCUGGAAAGAGCAAUGUGAUUGGGCCUAAAGAUGAUAGGAGGUGUGGUGCAAGAGAUAAGCAGGGGUCACAUGAUGGAAAGUGUUCCAAACCAUGAUGAUGUCUCUGGAUUUAUUUUAAGUGUGAUAGGAAAAAACUGGGGACUUUAGAGGUGGAGAGUGACGGCAUCUGAUUUAUGUGUUUUUAAGAUCAGCUUGGCUGCUUCUGUCUUGAGAAUAGACUAUAGAGACUAUACAGAGGCAAGAUGGGAAGCAAGGAAGCCAGGCAUGAUAUCCUGGUGGCUCUGAUGGAGACGGUGAAAAGCGAUUGUUGAAUAAGAGAUAUGUUUUGAAGGAAGAGUUGAAAAAGACUUGAUGAUAGGUCCAUUUGGUAGGCUCUGCUUGGGAUUUUGGCCAAAGCAAAUGGGUGAAUGAUAGGGAAUUUCUGGGAGAGAAUUAAAAAUUAUCUUUUGGACUUAAGUCAUAUAGUCAAUUGGGUGAAUGAGUCUGGAAGUUGCUGGAGCUGGAGACUUGGGAGUUAUGUGUGCACAUGUAGUAAUUAAAAUCCUGGGGUUGGAUGAGUUUCCUUAGGGAGGGAGAGUGUUCAGAGACAAAAGAACAAAAGUUUAAGAUACUGAGCUCCAGCGCCCCCAGACAUUCAGAGGUUAGGAAAUGGAGGAUCCAGCAAAGGAGAUUGAGAAAAAGUAACCAGUGGAAUAAGAAAAAAAUCCCAAGAGGGUGUGUGUGCCAGAAUCUGAGGAAAGAAAUGUGAAGAAGGAGGAAAUGUUUAUGUCAAACAUGGCUGAGAGUUUGAAUAAGUGGGAACUGACAAGUGACAAUUGGAUUUGACAAAACGAGGCUGAUGGAAAAUAAAUAAAGCAGAGACAUAGUGAAGAUUAGGCUGGGUUAACUGCUCUGUCAGACAGGGAAGCCCUGAUCCAGCAAAGAGCAGCUUAGGUCUGUGGUACUGGCUCCAGAUGAACCACCCAACACAUAGUUUGAGCUUUAUAAACUGUAUUGUGUAUAAGUAUAUAUAUGAGGAAAGUGAUCAAUUAUACAGGAUUCUCUGAAGCAAAUAAAUAGAGAAUCAAAGGUAGAUUUGACAGCUUUUAGAAGGAAGAUCUGACAGGAUUUUAUAUACUUUCCCUUUGAAGUGAUAUUAUUUGUCUCUUUGUCUCAAGAUUGAGUUCCUUGACAGGGCAGGGACUGUGUAUUACCAUCUCUGGGUCCUCAGUAUCCAGCACAUAAGACAACUGUCCACAGAAACAGCCUGUAAAGGGAGCUGACUUUCGCUGAUGGCUCAUAUUGGUCAAGGUAGACUAACUUUUGUAACAAAAAACCCUGCCACCUCAUUAGGUAAACACGAUAAAAGUGUAUUUCUGCAUCUGUCCAGAGUUCAAGACAGAUCAUAUGGGGAGAUGAGAGCUCUACUCCACAUGGAUGUUCUAGGGCCUCACUCUAUUCUGUAUUCAGCCAAGAGAUGGGGAAAAAGGGGUGGAAAUAUUGUGCAGAAGGUUUCUCAAGGGCCAAUUCUUCUCCUGGGUACCCAAGGGAGGCUGAGAAAUGUCAUCUAGCUGUGUCCCUAUGGGGAAAAGGAACCAGCAUUUGGUGAAAACACAACAGUUUCUCCCAUGUGACUCUUCUAAGCUUUGAGAUUCUGGGAAAGUCUAUUAAAGAUCAGCAUUGAUUCGAUCAGGGAUCCUACACAGUUGGCAGAAAAACUCUGGCCAGGUAGCCCUCCACCAGAUCCCCUGGGGCUUCAGGCUGGCAGAGAGGAAUGGCUGAAGGCUUUCCACACGAUCUUCCCCAUUCCUUCACUCUACAAACAUUAUUAAGCAUCACUUGGGAGUCAGAUACUGACAGUGCUAGACAGUGAGAAUGCAGUGAUGAGCACACAGUCUCCACUUUCUCAGGUCCUAAUCUAGUAGAAGAGAGAAAUAUGAAACAAAUAAUAUCAGUGCACUGACAUGAG